GACGAACGCUGGCGGCGUGCCUAAUACAUGCAAGUCGAACGCUUCUUUUUCCACCGGAGCUUGCUCCACCGGAAAAAGAGGAGUGGCGAACGGGUGAGUAACACGUGGGUAACCUGCCCAUCAGAAGGGGAUAACACUUGGAAACAGGUGCUAAUACCGUAUAACAAUCGAAACCGCAUGGUUUUGAUUUGAAAGGCGCUUUCGGGUGUCGCUGAUGGAUGGACCCGCGGUGCAUUAGCUAGUUGGUGAGGUAACGGCUCACCAAGGCGACGAUGCAUAGCCGACCUGAGAGGGUGAUCGGCCACAUUGGGACUGAGACACGGCCCAAACUCCUACGGGAGGCAGCAGUAGGGAAUCUUCGGCAAUGGACGAAAGUCUGACCGAGCAACGCCGCGUGAGUGAAGAAGGUUUUCGGAUCGUAAAACUCUGUUGUUAGAGAAGAACAAGGAUGAGAGUAACUGUUCAUCCCUUGACGGUAUCUAACCAGAAAGCCACGGCUAACUACGUGCCAGCAGCCGCGGUAAUACGUAGGUGGCAAGCGUUGUCCGGAUUUAUUGGGCGUAAAGCGAGCGCAGGCGGUUUCUUAAGUCUGAUGUGAAAGCCCCCGGCUCAACCGGGGAGGGUCAUUGGAAACUGGGAGACUUGAGUGCAGAAGAGGAGAGUGGAAUUCCAUGUGUAGCGGUGAAAUGCGUAGAUAUAUGGAGGAACACCAGUGGCGAAGGCGGCUCUCUGGUCUGUAACUGACGCUGAGGCUCGAAAGCGUGGGGAGCAAACAGGAUUAGAUACCCUGGUAGUCCACGCCGUAAACGAUGAGUGCUAAGUGUUGGAGGGUUUCCGCCCUUCAGUGCUGCAGCUAACGCAUUAAGCACUCCGCCUGGGGAGUACGACCGCAAGGUUGAAACUCAAAGGAAUUGACGGGGGCCCGCACAAGCGGUGGAGCAUGUGGUUUAAUUCGAAGCAACGCGAAGAACCUUACCAGGUCUUGACAUCCUUUGACCACUCUAGAGAUAGAGCUUCCCCUUCGGGGGCAAAGUGACAGGUGGUGCAUGGUUGUCGUCAGCUCGUGUCGUGAGAUGUUGGGUUAAGUCCCGCAACGAGCGCAACCCUUAUUGUUAGUUGCCAUCAUUUAGUUGGGCACUCUAGCAAGACUGCCGGUGACAAACCGGAGGAAGGUGGGGAUGACGUCAAAUCAUCAUGCCCCUUAUGACCUGGGCUACACACGUGCUACAAUGGGAAGUACAACGAGUCGCAAAGUCGCGAGGCUAAGCUAAUCUCUUAAAGCUUCUCUCAGUUCGGAUUGUAGGCUGCAACUCGCCUACAUGAAGCCGGAAUCGCUAGUAAUCGCGGAUCAGCACGCCGCGGUGAAUACGUUCCCGGGCCUUGUACACACCGCCCGUCACACCACGAGAGUUUGUAACACCCGAAGUCGGUGAGGUAACCUUUUGGAGCCAGCCGCCUAAGGUGGGAUAGAUGAUUGGGGUGAAGUC
rnacentral:rRNA from 1 species